rnacentral:lncRNA from 1 species
AUUAUUGACUGCAUAACAUUUAUUUUUUCAACAUUUUUCAAAUAUAUAUCAUUUGAAAUGAAGAUCAAAGUGCCAAUGGACUUAUAUCCCAUUGGUUAUUAGGUGUAUGAGUUCGAGUCCCAAUAAUAGUCGGGACUCGAAUCCCCUUCUAAUAAAAAUUUAUUUAACUAUCUAAUUUAGGGAUAUAAUAAAUUUCUCUCCAAUAUUAAGUGAAGAUUAUUAUAAAUUAUGAAGUUUUCAAUCUUAUCCUUCCACAUCAUCCUUAUCCUUAUCUUCCUCCUUUACCAUCUCAUAACUAAAUAUCCAUCUCCAAUUCGCUUUUCCUCUUUUUGCUCUCUACUUUUCUUUUUCCUCUUUUUUCUUUUUUCUUUUUUUUUUGUUAUCAUUCAUAACCUUUCUUUAUUCUCUAAGUACUUUGCAUCCUUUAGUUAUUUGUUGGUUUAUUUUUACAAAAAAAAAAUCACUAAAAAUCUGUAUAUAUUUAUAAUUAUUAUUCCUCCCUUUAAAUCAUUGUCUUUUGAAGAAGAAAAGAAGAGAGAAGUAUGCUGGAAAAAGAAAAUAAGCAAAAAAGAUUAAGUAAUUAAGUGCAAAAGUUUGGGUCCAAUUUUUCUUUUCUUCUCUUUUUUUUUUCUUUUGGAAAGAACAUGUCUGAUAAUUUGUUGUGAUGUUGCGCAAUAACUAUGCACCCCGGACACAAAGUUAGUGGAGCACAUAUGGUGUUGUGCUAGAGCAUUAACAGCAUCAAGUACUCAAAGUGAUUGUGACUGUUGGUGUUCACGAUAGAUUAGGGGUAGGUUUGGAAUUGAGGUUGGACAAUUAUAACUUAAAAAGUUACAGUACUAAAGUAUUUGAUAAAUACUAACUACUAUAAUUUAAAAGUUGUGUUGAUAUGAUUUUUUAAUUGUAUUAUAAAAAAUUUAUUAUAUCUUUAAUAAUUAUUAUUUAAAAUUUAUAUUUACUAUAAAAAAUUGUAAUUAUCAACAGCAGCUGUAACUUAAAAGUUAACAGCGCUUUACUCCCAAAUAAAACUUAAGUGAGGAAGAAAGAUUGGGUUUGGAGAAGAGAACAAAAGCAGAGAGAAGUCGUGUUUUGUGGCAUGAUCGUGUUUUAAAGAAGACAAACUUUUGGUUUUUUUCCUCUUUUAAUGCAAUCAUGCUUAAACGCGAUUCCUCCCACGAGUUUAGUUUAUGCGUCUUUAAUUGUAUUGCACUAGGAAUAUAAUAUGUGGUCUAAUACAAAAUCGGUUUUUAGCCAAACAUAGGUUGUAUUAAUUUAAUGCUAUGAAGAAUUGUAAUGCUGGGUGUCAAAUACAUUUAUAUUAUAUUAUGUUGUAUUGCAUUAACAUUAUUUUAUAAUAAUGUUAUAUAGUUUUUGGUGUUA